UGAUUGAUUGAUUGAUUGACUGUGGAAAUGGAUAAAAGUCGCCCAUCCAAACAAUGACUACCAUCAGUGCAGGUAAGAAAAAAACAUUAAUUUUAACUUUUAUCAUCUACAAUAUGGUCUUAUUUAUUUUAUAGUACAGUACAUUGAUUAUUGCUUUCAUUUUAUGGCUCAAUGGUCUCAUUAGAUAGUAAAAUUCAUGUUAAAUUGCUGCUUUAGGGGUUGUUUUUAAAAGUCUGGCAUGGAUUAAUCUGUUUUGCAUUGCUUUAUAUGGGAAAGUGUGCCUUGGUUUUGGAACGCUUUGGUUUUGGAACGGACUUCCGGAACAGAUUAAGUUCGAAAACCAAGGUACCACUGUAUAUAUGCAGUAUGGAAUGAAGUUUUAAAAAGCAAGCCAUUCUUUUUUGUGUCUUGUGUGCUCUGGGGGCAGAUGAGUCGCAUUGGAGUCAACAUCAGUUAAGACGUUCUCAAGUAAAUUUUUGUCUUGACAGGCUAAAGACUGACAGAAGACACGGGUUCACAGCCAGUGGACCUGCUUUGGGCUGAGCCUGCUCUGCUAAGUAGGCCAAGGACUGGCACGAACCGAAUUGGCACUGUGGGAAUCGUGAUCACUAAGCGAGCACAGACAAGCAGCGAAUCCCACCCCU